rnacentral:sRNA from 1 species
AAACGGGUGGGACCCCUAGCUCUUAGGGGG